UGGAAUGAUCAAUAGAGGGGGAGAAAGAAAAUUUCAGAAGGAGAGGUCUCACGGAACUUAAUCGCGUAUAUCUAUAACUAAAGGAGAGAGGAAGAAUACAAAAUGAAAAAUGAUCCUAAUACUCUCCAAUAUGUAUCAUCUGAAAUUUAAUCUGAAAAUCUUUAUGAUAUACCUUGAGGCGUGUUAUCUGGUUAGUAUAUCUUAUGCAUAAAUCAUGAACCAAAUUGCAAGUUGAGCUUAAAGAGCCUCUAACUUAAUGAAAAAGGGGGAGAAUAACGUGUAAAAUUUUCUUGAGCAUCUUUUAGAAAACCUAUUUUGAUAUUCACUAAUGAGUCCUAAUUGACUUGAUCUUUAGAACUUAAAUUGUGUGCCAAUUCAUAUUUUUAUGUAUCAAAUUGUGCUUACUUUCUAAAGAAAUAAAAGAAAGUCUUUAAAAGAGCUCUAAGAUGUAUCAAAAAAUUGCAUGAUUUCAUAUUUUGGUAUUUGUGCUCCAAUGCUCUUAUUAUCAUAGAAGAACUUUGAAGGN
rnacentral:lncRNA from 1 species